rnacentral:rRNA from 1 species
CCUACGGAGGGCAGCAGUGAGGAAUAUUGGUCAAUGGUCGGGAGCCUGAACCAGCCAAGCCGCGUGAGGGAUUAAGGUCCAGAGUAUCGUAAACCUCUUUUGUCAGGGAACAAAGGCGGGGACGUGUCCCCGGAUGAGUUUACCUGAAGAAAAAGCUUCGGUUAAUACCGUGCCAGCAGCCGGGUUAAUCCGGAGGUUGCGAGCGUUAUCCGGAUUUAUUGGGUUUAAAGGGUGCGCAGGCGGUUUUUUAAGUCAGCGGUCAAAGCUGGGGGUUCAACCCCAGCCAGCCGUUGAAACUGGGGGUCUAGAGUGGGAGAGAGGUAUGCGGAAUGCGCGGUGUAGCGGUGAAAUGCAUAGAUAUCGCGCAGAACUCCGAUUGCGAAGGCAGCAUGCCGGCUCCAAACUGACGCUGAGGCACGAAAGCGUGGGUAUCGAACAGGAUUAGAUACCCGGGUAGUC